UAAGAAUUUGAAGCUUAAGCUGUUAGAUGAAAACUCGGCAAUUCGACUGAGUCAUCUUCCAUGCCAAAUCCCAGUCGUACGAGGUUCAUUGAGUCUGGUAAUUGGAAUGAGUCCAAUCUAAAUCCCAUAAUGAGGAUCCAUUGGAGGGCAAGUCUGGUGCAAGCAGCCGCAGUAAUUCUAGCUCCAAUAGCGUAUAUUUAAGUUGUUGCAAUUAAACCGUGCGGAUAAUUUUAUAUCCAACAAAAUAAAAUUUGAUGAAGAUACAUGAAUGAUUUUAUAUCGUACCGGUUCUUUUGAGGCGACCAUCAUCAUCAAAGCACUUAGAGGCUCCUUGUUGAUGAACAUCA
rfam:Lupinus angustifolius cultivar Tanjil chromosome LG03, whole genome shotgun sequence.